rnacentral:rRNA from 1 species
UACGUAGGAUGCAAGCGUUGUCCGGAAUUAUUGGGCGUAAAGAGCGCGCAGGCGGUGUGCCAAGUCAGAUGUGAAAUAUCCCGGCUUAACCGGGGAGGGUCAUUUGAAACUGGUAGACUAGAGUACAGCAGAGGAUAGCGGAAUUCCCGGUGUAGUGGUGAAAUGCGUAGAUAUCGGGAGGAACACCAGUGGCGAAGGCGGCUAUCUGGGCUGAAACUGACGCUGAGGCGCGAAGGCUAGGGGAG